GGGUCAGGCGGGCCCAGCCGAGGUGCCCCCGAGAAGCACCCCCCAGGCCCAGCCACCGUGGGUCAGAGGAGUCAUCUGGAAAGAGGGGAGAGAAGCAGYGUGCGUUGUGGUUGUGGAUCAGUCCCGCUCGGCUCUCCCUGAAGUAGUUUGAUUGGAGAUGAAGCAUGAGAAGGCCGCAAAGUGGUGAAACUCUCUGGAGAUGGGAUGAGCAGCCGAGGAAGUCAUGUGAGUGAAGGAAGCAGAGGCCAGCGAGAGGUCUUGGCCGACAGAGAGGUGAAGCGGGGAUAUCUGUGAGCAGUUCCAGAUGUCRACUUUCACUAGG
rnacentral:lncRNA from 1 species